rnacentral:tRNA from 2 species
GGGCCCUUAGCUCAGUUGGUCAGAGCAAGCGACUCAUAAUCGCUGGGUCGUAGGUUCAAGUCCUACAGGGCCCACCG